GAACGGGUGAGUAACACGUGGGUAACCUGCCCAUCAGAAGGGGAUAACACUUGGAAACAGGUGCUAAUACCGUAUAACACUAUUUUCCGCAUGGAAGAAAGUUGAAAGGCGCUUUUGCGUCACUGAUGGAUGGACCCGCGGUGCAUUAGCUAGUUGGUGAGGUAACGGCUCACCAAGGCCACGAUGCAUAGCCGACCUGAGAGGGUGAUCGGCCACACUGGGACUGAGACACGGCCCAGACUCCUACGGGAGGCAGCAGUAGGGAAUCUUCGGCAAUGGACGAGAGUCUGACCGAGCAACGCCGCGUGAGUGAAGAAGGUUUUCGGAUCGUAAAACUCUGUUGUUAGAGAAGAACAAGGAUGAGAGUAAAAUGUUCAUCCCUUGACGGUAUCUAACCAGAAAGCCACGGCUAACUACGUGCCAGCAGCCGCGGUAAUACGUAGGUGGCAAGCGUUGUCCGGAUUUAUUGGGCGUAAAGCGAGCGCAGGCGGUUUCUUAAGUCUGAUGUGAAAGCCCCCGGCUCAACCGGGGAGGGUCAUUGGAAACUGGGAGACUUGAGUGCAGAAGAGGAGAGUGGAAUUCCAUGUGUAGCGGUGAAAUGCGUAGAUAUAUGGAGGAACACCAGUGGCGAAGGCGGCUCUCUGGUCUGUAACUGACGCUGAGGCUCGAAAGCGUGGGGAGCGAACAGGAUUAGAUACCCUGGUAGUCCACGCCGUAAACGAUGAGAGCUAAGUGUUGGAGGGUUUCCGCCCUUCAGU
rnacentral:rRNA from 1 species